rnacentral:tRNA from 1 species
UAUGGCUCAGUGGUGCAGCAUCUGCCUGGCAAGCACCAGGUCCUGAGUUCGAUUCCCAGUA